UGAAGAGGUAAUCAGCUCACACUUGAGCAUGA
rnacentral:piRNA from 1 species